UGGGGAAUAUUGGACAAUGGGCGCAAGCCUGAUCCAGCCAUACCGCGUGGGUGAAGAAGGCCUUCGGGUUGUAAAGCCCUUUUGUUGGGAAAGAAAUCCAGCUGGCUAAUACCCGGUUGGGAUGACGGUACCCAAAGAAUAAGCACCGGCUAACUUCGUGCCAGCAGCCGCGGUAAUACGAAGGGUGCAAGCGUUACUCGGAAUUACUGGGCGUAAAGCGUGCGUAGGUGGUCGUUUAAGUCCGUUGUGAAAGCCCUGGGCUCAACCUGGGAACUGCAGUGGAUACUGGGCGACUAGAGUGUGGUAGAGGGUAGCGGAAUUCCUGGUGUAGCAGUGAAAUGCGUAGAGAUCAGGAGGAACAUCCAUGGCGAAGGCAGCUACCUGGACCAACACUGACACUGAGGCACGAAAGCGUGGGGAGCAAACA
rnacentral:rRNA from 2 species